UACGGAGAGUGCAAGCGUUAUCCGGAAUCACUAGGCGUAAAGGGAGCGUAGGCGUCUUGUCAAGUUCCCGGUGGAAUCUCCGGGCUUAACCCGGAACUUGCGGGGAAAACUGACAGGAUUGAGUUGAAGAUGGGAGAGUGGAAUUCCUGGUGGAGCGGUGAAAUGUGUAGAUAUCAGGAAGAAUACCGAUGGCGAAGGCGACUCUCUGGCUUUAAACUGACGCUGAUUCUCGAAAGCGUGGGUAGCAAACGGGAUUAGAUACCCGCGUA
rnacentral:rRNA from 1 species